GUGAAGUUUGCGAUCCAAUACAUGCGAAAAGUUAUUCAGAAAAAGGCGAAGUUUGACAUAAUGGACCUGAACACCAUUAAGGUGGCAAAUUCUUGCUUCGUUCCAGUUUUACUAGGGCAUGCCAUUGAUGAUGAUUUCAUACGCCCCCACCUACCUUCCCAUUCAAUCCAUUGUUUGCUAUGUGAGGCUCAUCUUUUAAUGAAUGCUUUUUGCGCAGGGAGACAAAAACAUUAUCAAAUUUGAGGGUGACCAUAAUUCUCCACGCCCUCUUGAUUCUAUAAAUAUAUUUUUCGACAAUGUUUUGCAACCUCCAGAGGAUGAAGUAGCUGGAGCUUUUUUUGAUCCUAUGGAUGAUUACUUUGGUAAGGGCGGUUGGAGAAAUGUUCAUGAAGUAGGUAAUGACCAUGGAUCUUCUGCUACAUCUAAAGGCAAGACUCAAGUACCUAGUCUCUCUUUUGCUCUCAAAUACGGAUAUCUUUCAUGAUCUUUAUUCAGCAACCGCUCCUUUCUUGUAUCUCAUUGAUUUCUAUAAGUUGCAGAGCCAGCCACAAGCAGUACAGCAGAUGCCAUUACAAAACUCCGUACUAGAAGACCAAUGAGUAGGACACAGGUUAGUGAUUGAUUGGUUUUCUUUUUGUGCUUAG